UACGGGGGGGGCAAGCGUUGUUCGGAAUUACUGGGCGUAAAGGGCUCGUAGGCGGCCAACUAAGUCGGACGUGAAAUCCCCAGGCUCAACCUGGGAACUGCGUCCGAUACUGGAUGGCUUGAAUCCGGGAGAGGGAUGCAGAAUUCCAGGUGUAGCGGUGAAAUGCGUAGAUAUCAGGAGGAACACCGGUGGCGAAGGCGGCUAUCUGGACAGAGUCUGACGCUGAGGCGCGAAAGCUAGGGGAGCAAACAGG
rnacentral:rRNA from 1 species